AGAGUUUGAUCCUGGCUCAGGAUGAACGCUAAGGCUUAACACUUGCAAGUCGAGGGGCAGCAUGAAGUAGCAAUACUUUGAUGGCGACCGGCAAACGGGUGCGGAACACGUACACAACCUUCCUUUAAGUGGGGAAUAGCCCAGAGAAAUUUGGAUUAAUACCCCGUAACAUUGCGAUGUGGCAUCACAUUGCAAUUAUAGCUUCGGCGCUUAACGAUGGGUGUGCGUAUGAUUAGAUAGUUGGCGAGGUAACGGCUCACCAAGUCUACGAUCAUUAGCUGAUGUGAGAGCAUGAUCAGCCACACGGGCACUGAGACACGGGCCCGACUCCUACGGGAGGCAGCAGUAAGGAAUAUUGGUCAAUGGACGCAAGUCUGAACCAGCCAUGCCGCGUGAAGGAUUAAGGUCCUCUGGAUUGUAAACUUCUUUUAUAUGGGACGAAAAAAGGUCUUUCUAGACCCCUUGACGGUACCAUAUGAAUAAGCACCGGCUAACUCCGUGCCAGCAGCCGCGGUAAUACGGAGGGUGCAAGCGUUAUCCGGAUUCACUGGGUUUAAAGGGUGCGUAGGCGGGUAGGUAAGUCAGUGGUGAAAUCCUGGAGCUCAACUCCAGAACUGCCAUUGAUACUAUCUAUCUUGAAUAUUGUGGAGGUAAGCGGAAUAUGUCAUGUAGCGGUGAAAUGCUUAGAUAUGACAUAGAACACCCAUUGCGAAGGCAGCUUACUACGCAUAUAUUGACGCUGAGGCACGAAAGCGUGGGGAUCAAACAGGAUUAGAUACCCUGGUAGUCCACGCCCUAAACGAUGGAUACUCGACAUACGCGAUACACUGUGUGUGUCUGAGCGAAAGCAUUAAGUAUCCCACCUGGGAAGUACGUUCGCAAGAAUGAAACUCAAAGGAAUUGACGGGGAUCCGCACAAGCGGUGGAGUAUGUGGUUUAAUUCGAUGAUACGCGAGGA
rnacentral:rRNA from 1 species